GCAACAGGCAAUGAGGCAAGGAGAGAUCGAUGCGAUGAUCUGAAGCUUCUCCGACCAAAAUCCGACGAUCACGAUGUCGAAUUAAGGUGUUCUGAAUGGCAUUCAGCUCCUGGAGUCACGAGCUUCCUUUUCUGACUAAUGGCACCUCAUGGUACCUCCAAUGCUCGUCGGAAUCAUAAGAAUCGAGGAGAGAUAAAAUGAGUAGAACCGUAAAUUUUCGACCAAAUUUCAGUCAAUCCUACCGUCACCU
rnacentral:lncRNA from 1 species